rnacentral:lncRNA from 1 species
GCCUGUCCCCGCGGCGGCGGCGGCGGCGGCGCCCCAAUUCCCUAAGGAAUUGAUUCCAGUGGCCGCGGAGGAGGGCGGGGGAAGGAGCCGGGGCCGGGGCCGGGGCCGGAGCAGGCGAAAGGGGAGGGAGGUUUCCGCUGCGAUCCCCGCGCACCGACCCGGAGAGGAGGAGAGCCACCUAAGCCCGGGGUAGUCCCGGGGAGGGGGCGGGGGGCCGGGAGGAGGGGUGAGGUGGGCGGGGGGACCGGGAGCAGGGGUGAGGUGGGCGGGGGGGGGGACGGGGGGGAGGAGGGGUGAGGUGGGCGGGGGGGGUCCCGGGAGGAGGGGUGAGGUGGGCGGGGGGGGGGGGCCCCCGGGAGGAGGGGUGAGGUGGGCGGGGGGGCCCGGGAGGAGGGGUGAGGUGGGCGGGGGGGUCCCGGGAGGAGGGGUGAGGUGGGCGGGGGGGUCCCGGGAGCAGGGGUGAGGUGGGCGGGGGGCCCGGGAGCAGGGGUGAGGUGGGCGGGGAGGGCCGCCCGCCGCCGCCCGGGACUCGGCUGCUCCCCGGGGACCCCGCCGGGCCGAGCGAGGGCGAGCGCGGCAACCUGCCCCGGCCCGCGCCCCGCGGCGCCCGCUCGUCCGGCGGAGAAAAAGUUGGGCAGAACUUUCCGGGGCCGCGGGAGCCCGGGCGGCAGGAAAUGCGAGCGGCCGGCAGGGGAGGGAGGAAGGGGCCGUGCGGUGGGAGGGGACGGAGCAGGCGCCGGCGGCCGCGGCUCCCCCCGCCCCCCACCCUCCACCCCGGGCCGGGCCGGGCGGGGCGGCGGAGGCGGGGGCGCGGGGCGCGGGGGGGGAAGCGCGGGCAGGAAUGCGCCCGGGAGGCGCGCGCCGCGGCGGGGCGCGGGGCGCCGGGCGGUGGGCGCGGGGGGCGCGGGGCGCCGGGCGUGGGGCGCGGGGCAGCGCCGAAACUCGGAGCCGGGGCUCCCGGGCUGCAGGCGCGCCGGCCGCGGGGACGUCACGGCGCUGGAAUCCGAGGAAUGCCGGGCGGCAGGAGCUCCCCGUGCAGGCCCGGGAGCAGCCGCGCGCCGGCGGUGCGGUGGCUUUGGGGAAACUGUUGAAAGAAUCUAUGUCUACCCAUCCCAAAAAUUUCUGGGACUAGUCUCUGAGAACAGCUCUCAGGUCCAUCCUUUUCGGUGGCGUGUCUUCAGGAGAGAAUACCGGUGCUGCUGUGCUUCUGGCCUGUGCUGCUUUGCUGUCUUACUACACAUUAGAACCCUGUAAAUUUUCCAAGAUCACCAAGGUGGUAAGUGUUGAUAUUCAAACCCUAGUCUUUUUUUAUUCCAAAUCUUGUGUUUUAAUCCCAAUCCUCAGGGGUUGCUGAAAGAUGAUUGGAUCAAAGUAUUCAUCCAACUAAAAACAUCAUUUCAUUCCAGAUAUUUCCCACUAAAUGGAACCUGGAUCCUUAGAGAAGUGGUGGACACCAGGUCUGAGGAAAGAAUAUGCAAGAAACAUAUAUACAAGAAAGCUAUCAAAAGAACAUGAGGGCCUAGGUGGCUCAGCUGUUGGGCUGCCUUUGGCUCGGGGUAUGAUCCUGAGUCCCAGGAUGGAGUCCCGUGUCGGGCUUCCUGUGUGGAGCCUGCUUCUCCCUCUGCCUGUCUCUGCCUCUCUCUCUGUGUCUCUCAUGAAUGAAUAAAUAAAAUAUUUAAAAAAAAAAAAAAAGAACAUGAGGGUCAGGGCACCUGGGUGCUCAGUUAGUUGAGUGGCCAACUCUUGAUUUCAGCUCUGGUCAUGAUCUCAGGGUCUUGGGAUGCAGCCCUGCACGGGCUCCAUGCUAGGCAAGGAUCUGCUGAGGUUCCCUUCUCUUUCCCUCAGCCCCUCCCCCUGAUCUUUCUCAAAUAAAUAAUAAAUCUUAAAAAAACAAAACAAAACAAAAAAAGAACACCUAGGUCAUAACCAAAGGACUCAGGAACUACCUUGAAGAGAUUCUCACUGGCUAGAGAUGGGCAAAUUUUAGGGUCAAUAAGGAUAAUAAUGGUAAUUGUGUGUAACAUUUCAAAUGUGUUUAAUUCCAAAAGUUUGUCAAAUGAUCCAAGAAAAAAAAAUGAAUUAGUUACCACUAGAACCAACUCAUUGUUUUGAAAAAUAAUAAAUGGGGGGAUAGAACCAAACCAUCUUGUUUUUCCUAGGAAAUGAUACCACUGGUAAUUAAGUACCAGAUGAGAAGGGUUUUUUUUCUUCCUUUAUAGAAAUAUCCUAGAUAAUAAAUAGAAGGGAUAAUAAAAUGAGAGUAUCAUUAUUUUGCUGCCUUGGAUAAAGUAAAAAUCUAGGCACAAGCUUCACUGGCUGCUGACAUCACAAAAAGGGAUAUUAAACUAUCACUAUUUUGGCUUUGAGAAAAAUAACCUGAAUGUGACCAAACCCCUAGAAUAGAUCCAGCUAUCAGCUGCCAAUUAAAAAAAAAAAAAUACAAGAGCCCAGGAAUAUGUUCGAACAGAUCUCAGAGAUGCAAUCAGCAAAAUGUCAGAUGUAGAAAACCCCAGAAGCUAGUGGUGGUGGAGGGGCAGAGGAAGAGAGAGAAUCUUGAGCAGGCUCCAUGCUCAGUACAGAGCCUGAUGCAGGGCUUGAUCUCACGAUCCUGUGAUAGAGACCUGAGCCCAAAUCAGGAGUCGGUAGCUUAACGGACUGAGCCACUCAGGCACCCCUAGAAAACAUUUUUUAAAAACAAAUACAGUUCAGCGAUAAGGGAAAGAAAUAGUAAACUAAAGAUUAAAAGAGACUUAAAAGAUGUGUCACCUAUCACAACCUGUGACCUUAUUUGUAUCCUAACUUAAAUAAACUCUAAAAAAAGCUGUUUAUGCCUUUUAUGAGGACAUUUGAACAUUGAAUAGAUAUUAAGGAAUUAUUGUAAAAUGUUUGAGAUAUGAUAACUGGUAUAAUCUUUUAGAAAUAUAUAUUGAAAUAUCUAUAGUUGAAAUGUUGUAUCUGGAUUUUGUUUCCAGGCAUAACCUUGUUCCCAGAGGUAGGAAGAAUAUCUAUAAAAUAAGAUUGUCAAUGAGUUGAUGAUUAUGGAAGCUGAGUAAUGGCUAUAUGGGAAUUUGUCACAGAAUUCUGUUUAAUUUUAUAUAAAUAUGAAAUAAUGAAGUUAAAAACCUAAUAAUAAUUAAAAGUUAUAAGUAUAUAUUAUAAAAAUAAUAUGUUCUCAUUUCAAACAAUAUUGAAAUAAUUAAAAGGUGGAUUAUCUGUUUUCACAUCACAUUUUCAUCUUAAUAUUCCCUGGAGAUAAUCACUUUAAUUCUAUACUGAUACAAAGAUUUUAUGUUCUGAAUAUACUUUUUUCUUUUUCUUUUUCCCCCUUAAGUGCAAGAAAAAGCCAAGGUUAAGCAUUAGCUACUACAAAAUGCUGACCGUGAGUCAUCCUACAUUUUGGGUGAGACAUACAUAAGGUUUUCUUUUUUAAGUUUCGAAGAACAUUUCCGAAACUGUGAACCACAUAGGAGAGAAAAUGAAAUUUUCAUUUGCACAAAAUUUGAAAUUUGGACUUAUCAGACUAAGUUCAAAGGUUCCUUACUUUGGAGAAAAGACAAUAUAAAAGCUUCAAACUUAGGAAACAAAUUUUAGAUUGGGUGGAGGGAAUUUUCACCAAAAACUAGUAACCAUAAGUAUAAUCAAAGGCACCUUUAAAAUGUGAACAUGGGAUACCUGGGUGCCUCAAUGGUUGAGCAUCUGCCUUAGGCUCAGGGCGUAAUCCCAGGAUCCAGGAUCGAGUCCCGAAUUGGGCUCCCUGCAAGGAGCCUGCUUCUCCCUCUGCCUGUGUCUCUGCCUCUUUUUCUUUCUCUCUCUCUCUCUCUCUCUCUCUCUCUGUCUCUCAUGAAUAAAUAAAUAAAUCUUAAAAAAAUAAUAAAAUAAAAUGUGAACACGACUGUUGAUUUUAAUGUGUAGAUUUUAUUAAAUUUAUACAUAACUUU